rnacentral:ribozyme from 1 species
GUUAAUGUUCUUACCAUCCCACGAUUAGUUGCACGCAGAGCUACUGCAUCUCUGUCUCUCCAACAACGCCAGCGCAAGCAGUUUCCACGAGAAAUGAGUUGAG